CGUAAACAUCUUUUUCAAAGCAAAAUGUAAAAAAGCUGUCUUUUGAUUCAUGGCAAAUCAGCUUUAGUUUAUUUACUAAGUCAAUCGAUGUUCACAUUUUCCAUUAAUUAAUUAAUUGCUACCUGCCAUUUCAGCUCAUAAUGCAGUGUUUUGUUGAUUUACAAAAAUUCAUGUAUGCACUUCCAAGACCUAGUGUUUUUUCACUUUUUUUGUCAAAUAUUUAUUUUAAAGUAGAG